GAGGGGGAGGGAAAAGAGUGAGAAGCAAAGGGAGGGCUUCACUGAGUGUGUGUGUGAGGGAGGGAGGGAGUUAGGUGCUUGACUUUAACUUGGAGGCAAUACUUUAGUCUCCAUAAGCAAUGAACUGUGUACGGGAGGAUCUUUUUCAAUCUGACCCAAACCCAAGACCAACGGAGACUUGCCGACGCACAGCCACAUGCAGACACACAAACGCAUGCACGCACACACAGACACAUGCAAACACAAACAAAUACACACACACAAAUACACACAAACACACAAAGAAAAGGAUUCCUCUGUCCCACAUCAUACAGGAAUGUAAACAAACCUGCCCCAAUUUACAUCAGCUCAGUAUGUGUGUUUGUUCUUUGUGACUCAUCUCGCUCCCUCUUUCAUUCUCUUCUCUUUUUCUUCCCCUCUCUCACAUUCUUCUCCUUCUCUAAAAUAAUGUUGUUGGAAAUUUCCAUAACUGUGCUUAAGCAUGCAUCAUUGUAAACGGCAGGGUUUGAUACAAACUCGUACCAAACUCAUGCUGGUUGGUGUGUUUGAAGCAGCUGGAGAGAUACUCACAGUGUUCAUUCUGAAAGAAGCAUCACACACACAUACCGCUAUACACACACACAUACCGCUACAAACACACACACAUCCUUACACACAUCACUUACACACACAGCAAUGUGCUGUGGGCUCAGUGGAGCUCCACCAGUUCAAACUUGCCCAAGCAAGUUUUUCUUGGAAUAUAUGUUAGAAUACUUUACCGUAUUCAACACCAUGUAGCCUGGUUGUGUGUGUGUUGCAGCAGGAGAGCAAACUGUGAACCUGGUGCUCGUCUUGAAUGUUUCUUCCUUGUGGAUUGUGCUAGAACUUUACAAGUAUGCUAAAUGCCCAGUCAAACCAAGGAGGGAGAGACAGAGGAGAAAGACAAGGGAAAAGGGGAGUGAAAGAAGAGACAACAACAGAAGAGAAGGAAAUAGAGGAAUCCCUGCUGAAGGAUCCCCCCCAGUAAGACUCAACAGGAAGCCCUCAGUGAGGUGUGACAACUGCGGUCCCCACACGCCAGCGCAGGGACAGACGCUGUUCAGGCGAGUGUCGUACAUGCUGUCAGACAACAGACUGAUGGCUUAGCAGCUAGGAAACCCAUUAGGAACAUACACAGUCAGAUCUUGUUCUCUGAGUCAGACGCCUCAGUGAAAAUAAAGAUGGUCUCUCUCCGUGUCUCUCCUGGUCUGAGGGAGACACGCCGUAAUAGUUGGACAGAAAAGCAUUCCAAGUGCACACAUACACAGCCUCUAAGACACCCGAGGUCGUCCACACAGCCCAGCAGGAUCGACCACGGACAAUACGCUGGACACCUGGAGAAAAGAGGUG